AUUCUGUGCUGCAAACACUGGGAGGCAGGAAGUUUGAAAAAACGGCCACUGCCGCCCGCAAUGUCUCGGUCGUGGGCUGGUCGUGGGUUCGUUAUGCCAGUUGUGCGUCAUUCUAAGCCGUUCUGUACAUUUAUACUGGAUAUUAAUUGGAGUCAUUUAGCUGUGCUGAUGCUGUUUGCCGUGUGUUUUGCAUCAGUGCUUCGUGACAUCGGCUGUAUUGCGUGUUUUCACCGACGGCUUACUACCACAAUGGUGGGAUUUGCGUUCGCCGCCUUCGUGUCUCGGUGCGUCUUUGUGCGUCGCACGUUCGGAUAACACUUUUUCCGACGGCUGGACAUCCUUCUUGUACCUUGGCGCCAGCUGGAUGACGGGACAUCAUGAUCAGUGUAUUGCUUGCCUAUGUCUACAAGAACCGUCACGCGUGGCCUGUGACAGCAAGCUUUUGUGGGCAGCAAGUGCUCUCCUACGAAGGCUGGCCUACUCUGGCAGCGGCGGCAAUCAUCUUCAAGAUUUAUCCAUAAUCACCUUUGCUGCUUUUUGUCACUCUUGUUGAUUACACUUUCUGCGUCUUUUCUAAUUUAUUAGGUAAUAAAGUAUGAGUAUGUGA